rnacentral:lncRNA from 1 species
GGUAGCUCUAGCCGCCGAAAUUUGAGUAAAUGAAGUAAGAUUCUACUUUCGCGACGGUAGGUGUAGAGGAGCGAUCCGUUAACUGGUCUCAGACGGGUCUCCUUUUUUGGGUUUUUGGAUGGUGAAGAUGUUAGAUGAGUGUUGAAGGUUCGACUUCUACUAGGACCAAUAAAGAAGAAUCUCCACCCCAUCUCUGUCAUUCCCUUACACCUCCAUGGGGAUCUUCUUAAUUGCAUCACAACCCUCUUCGGCCGAAAGAAAAAAUUGAGGACACAAAGGAUCCUCCUCGCCGUCAUCCUGAUCUGACACUCCUUCAUGAUCAAUAAAGACAUCUCCCGAAUCUACAUCCUAAAAAUCAGUCCCUUUCUCUUCAAAAACCCAAGGCUUUUCUUCUCUAUAUAUUUAGUUACCGCCCCGAGGAUAGCCUAUGCGAAGCAAGCCUACACUGGCUCCAGGCCAAAGCGAUGAAAAGGCGAACGGUCUAUAUCGUAAUAUAAGAUUUAAAGGUCCAUGAGAGAAAGCCUGCCUUCUAGGGAAAAUAUCCAAAAUGAAAAAAAGCGCUCCGCACCUCUCUUGCUAUCCUGCCCUGCCUCUCUUUCUCCAGACUAGGCACUCUAUAGCUCACGGUGGAAUGCAUUUCAUAGCGAUUCCCCGCUCAUAGUCAUAGCACAUGAAGUAAUCUUUGAACCCACAUAGUUGUUAUCGGAUUAGCUCAAUCACCAGGAUGAAGAAGUCGCCGAUUAGCGAAUCUUCACUCUCUAGGAGUAGGACCAUCUCAAUCAAGCUUGAGAGGAACCCUUCACAUCUUCCUUUCUUUAUUGAAUUCCCUGCCUCAUCCCUCUUUAGAUAGACUGGAAUCAAAGAGCAAUAAAAGAAUACUGGGAGUAUGAAGUAUGAACAGACUCUCCUACGGCUAAGCCAACCUGUACUGUACAUCCCUAUCAUCCCCUGCCAAUAGGCAUUUUACCCUUCCUUUCAACAGGAGAUGCCUUUAGUAACUCUCUGACUGCACCCAGAAUCUGGUUAUGUAGCGCGCAUCGGUUAGUCCUCUUAGCUACACCAUGAACUAAGCCAUCAGUCUAGCUUUCCCCUGGUCUAUCCUUUGAACCCUGAAUCCCGCCUUUUAGCUCUUCCUUCUGCAUCGAAGAAGUCCUCUUUCUGAACCAGGAAUGGAAGAAUC